GCCGCGCUGGACCAGCGGGUCCCGCCGUUGCCGUCGACGGCGAGCCCGGCCGGGUAGGCCGCGUUCUCGACCGAGGACGCGGUG
rnacentral:tRNA from 1 species